AAACUCCUCAAACUACAAUGUUUUCCCCUAGGGAGCUCGCUUGUGUCCUAACAUGCAGAAGAUUCUCCUCUCUCGUCACAGAAAUGCUCAGUCAGCGGUGACGGGGGAAAAUGCCUUAACAUGGAAAAACAAUGAGGAAAGUGCUCCGUCUGCAUAGGCGUACAACUUGAAUGCAUGGAGAGGGAAAAUACGUAAAGGAAAAUGAAAUUUUUAUUUUUCCCAGUUUCCAUUUUCCAUUUGGAAAUGCACAUGCCAGGGGGCUAUGAGCUUUCUGUUUCCAUUCCCACUCGCAGAUUUCUUUCCACAGACACUGAAGACGCUCCUUGCUUAUCGGUUGGCUCAAGGAGGAGCUCAAGCAGGGCAUAUGUACACAUCUCGUUGGGAGCUGUGCCAAAAGCGUUUGAUGUGUGACAGACAUGCUGGAUGGGGUCUGAAUAGCAGGGGCAGAGGCAGGAGUGGGUUGGUGGUGGGUUGGGUUUAUGCUUUUCCCGGCUGGCGCCAGGCACUCUGCUCUGCUUUCACAUAAUUUGUUUUGGGGCAAAGACGCUGCUGCUGAAUCCGACAGGAAUUGGGUGAAAAGUAGUUGGCAAUCAGGAAACGAAAAUUGCGGGAACUGUGUCAUCAAAGUUACGUUGAACUCGAGCAAGAGCUCGGGGCAUUCAAAUUGAAAGCCUGAAAGGAGGACAGCCCCCGUAUCGCCUUCAAUACGACUCAUGUGAAAUAAAGGGCAUUUGCUGGUUAAUACAGGAGACUUUGUUUUAGUCUCUUUUCGACUAAGCGCCUGCCCAUUGCAGCACAAAAAGCAUUACGGAGAUCAGAUCUCUGAACCUAUCGCAGCUGGUUGCUAUUGUUGUCCCUCCCCUUAAUCGCUCUGAGAGCUCUGAGGGAGGCACCGAUAGUCACUCCGUAGUCUGGCACCGUUGCCCAUGGCAUUACAAAUCGAAAUAAAACAAAUUACUUAAUCGAAAGCUUCUUGUUGUUGUGAUUAAUCAAAUCAAUCGAGUUACGCUUCUGAAGAAGCCCAGUAGCUCAACAGUCUCUUUUCAAAAAGCAAUAUGAUGACAGUUUCCAAAACUAGGCAGAAUUUAUAAUUGAACAUUCAGAGAUUAAUAUGGUUAUAUCUGCAGAAAAACAAAAACGGAACGGCCACAAGAAAGUUCACAAAUAUUACUCUCAAUGGAUCGGAUUGUAGUACACACAAUAUAGCCUUAUCAAUCGAAUACGAGAAUUCACUCAGGCUAGUCAACCUUCAUGGGACUUCUCUAAUCGCUCCUUGACUUAUAUGAAAUGUGCAAGUAGUUCUCUGGAUUUGUAAUACUUAUUAGCCAGGUCAGUGCUGGAGUUUUGCAUUUAAUCGUAGGCCCUAUUUUACGACUUUUAUGGUGAUCGCAUUGAUGCAGUCAUAGGUUUACAGCCUAAUAAAUGUUGCCUAAAAGGUAUUCACUUAUUAAAAUAGAAGAGCUAUCAACCCAGAUUACUUUCCACACCUCUUGAUAAUGCUAUAACAUCAGACCUGGCCUGAUAGCAGCUGGCAUGAGGCUCGUAGUAGCCAACAGUUUUACGACUCCCUCCCUACAGUGGGGAAGGAGCGUGUUAUGCUACUCGUAUCUCUCUGCGAGGGUAAACCAUUGUGCAACGUCAUGGAAAUCAAAAGUGAGCUUUCAAAAAUGCCUUUAGAUAAGAGAAAGGUUCGUGGAAUUCCCACAAGAACAGAGACUUUCGUUGGUGAAUAAUGAUUUUUAGAAGUACGCAACGAUAUCGGAUAUAUUGCAGUCGGAGAGUGGCGAUGGGAACUGUUUGGCCAAGAAAUUAGAUGCGAGCAAGCGCAUUUCUGCGGAACUUCAAGAGGGGAAACGUUUAUUUAACUAGAGUUGGGUAUGAAGUGGUGCCGAUAUAUCAAAUGACUUCUGUGUGCAUGGAUGAGUAUUGUUCAAACUAUAAAUAGACGGUGCACUUUUGUUGUAAGCGGAUUAUUAAGGCUAUCAAUCACAACCCACCGCAGGCACCUAUCAAUAGUAACUGAUAAGCAAGCUGCUGCCAUAUUUGGAGAUUAUAAAAUACCUUUGAGCACAGGCAGGCAGGGGCACAAUCGAUUCGAGUUCCCCAAACACACGUCAAACAAAUGAAUUCAAUGCUUAGUCACACCCUACCAAACAAAUCAGCUGUGUACUUUUUCAAACUUCAAUAACAUUUCAAGUUCCCUGAUUCAUAUACUAAGCUGAACGACGACCCAUAUUUGGCACAGAAGAGUUCAGGGCACUCCGUUCUGUAUGGAAUAGUUUGUUAGGUCCAUCCUAUCCCUUAUCUUUGCUUAAAAAAGGACCCCGAUGUGUUCCACCUAAACUGCGCUAACAUUCUUCAAGAUUUAUAAUAUUUGUGGAGAGUAUUUUAAUACCCACUGGUCGACAAUGGGUUAAUCGUUCCCGUCAUGAUUAGAAAUCAUAUUCCUCGAUUCGGAUUUUCGGGUUACGAUUACAAGCUAGCUGAGACCUUCAGAUCUGAACAAGUAAUUUUAUCAGAUAAAUGCAUAAAUUUUCUACAAUAUCGGUUAAUUUUAAAUACUCUUUUUUAUUUGAUUGGGUCUUAAAUGAGAUUUUAGCAAAAAAGGUCAAAGCAUAAAACAUAAGUGUGAACGGAAUGAAACGUAAGUGUCUAUGGAAUGUUACGUC
rnacentral:sRNA from 1 species